rnacentral:tRNA from 4 species
GUAUCCGUCGCUCAGUUGGAUAGAGUACUCGGCUACGAACCGAGCGGUCAUAGGCUCGAAUCCUUUCAGAUGUACCA